CCGAGAUAGGAAAACUAAGACAGGAGUACUGGAGGGUGAAGAAGGACUGGGAAACCAGGGCUCAGGAAGAGUACGGUAGGAAGACAGGAAUAGAAACACAGAUAGAGGCGGACAGUUUAGAACAUGGAAUUCCCCUGGCAACCUCCACCCCAAGAUGUUUUUGUGGAUGGAUCCUGCACAAGACCAGAUGACAGGACAU